GUCACGACCCGAAUCCCGGAUUCAUGACCGGCACAUAGGCAAGGUUCCCCUCCAAGGUUCCAUACCUAUGCGAACCCAAACUUACACACAAACUUAUCCUAACUCAAUCAGAGUUCAACGCAACAUUAAUAACAAAAUCAACUUCAUAAUAAUUGAAUUGUCUUAAUACAAGAGUUUAUAUAAGUUCAGAGUUUUGGAGCACUAACUAAACAUAAAGGAAAGAUACAAAGUACAACCAAAGAGCAGAUUCUGAAGGUCCAACAAAAUGACCUGCUAUCAAGCUAUAAGCCUGAAAAGGAUAAAUAAUGAGAUGGUGAGUUCAACAACUCAGUGAGUAGAUAACGUUCAAUAUACACACACGAGGUAAUACAGCAAUGAGAAAUAUAUAUACAAGUAUGGCUCUAGGUUCUUAUAGAAAGGUUUCUCAAAUAGGCCAUAACAAGAAGAUCAAAUGGUAAAGUUCGUCAGAAAAUCAAAAUGCAAUGAGCAUGAGGCUCCGUACUGUGGGAUGAUCAGUCCACACAGGUUGGUGACUCCCCCGACCAACUAGGGUUCAGAUACGAUGUGCACAAAGACUAACACUACCCUGUUAGCAUGGGUAUUCUGACUGACAUACCAUAGGUUCAUAAUCAUAAUCAAACAGACAUAUUCAUAUCUCAAGGCUCAACUCAUGACAUCAAUCAAAUGAGGAGCUAUCAAUUCAGAAUUCAAUUCAAAAUAUAUACUGGUUCAUAUCAAGAAUUCGGAUUCAACAAUUGAUCAUGCUUUAUCAAAACAAGGAUAAUAAUCAACAUAUAUAUUAUCAAGAAGCAUGAUUCAAUUCAUAUUAACAAAUCAAAUAUUUAUACUAUUUCUCAUGAAUAUGGAAAAUUAUCCACUCACCUGACUCAAAAGCAAACAGAAGCCAAAAGCAGACACCGAAGAAAAUCCUACUGACGUCCUGUCGGUAGAAUAUCAGGAUUAUCUGAAUACAAAGGAGACAUAUUCAAGAACGACUCAAAAGAACAUUUAACCUAUUUAAUAAACUUAACUAAUGAUGUAUUCCAUAACCCUAUAUGUUUUUGAACUAACUAGUCAAUUUUCUCAAAAACCCAAAAUUUAACGGUUUUCCCGAAAUCUAAUCCAUAAAUAAACAACUAAUAAAAUUGGCAAUAAUUCACUAAAUAACCCUUAAUUAUUCAUCAAACUAAUCUGAAAAGGCUAAUAUUACAGCUAGGGACCAAUCUGUAAUUUAUCAUAUUUUUAGGGCCAAAUUGUAAUUUUUGUCUAAUUGGAGGACCAAACUGAAAUUUAUCAUAAAUCCAUGAAUAUACUGAAAUUCUGACCAUAAUUAGUCCUCAUUUCUGUCCAGAUCAUCUCAUUAUACUCCAAGGACCAUUCUGGAAUUUUACCAAAUUUUUUAGGGUCAAAUUGUAAUUUUGUCAAAUUGGAGGACUAAAUUGAAAGUGUUAAAUUCUCUUAUCUAUACAGUAAUUCUGUCCAUAAUUCGUAUGUUAUUCUGUUCAGAAUCUCGGAAUAGGCUCCAGGGACCAAUCUGCAAAUUUUCCAAAGUUUGGGGACUAAACUGUAAUUUUCCAAAAUUGAGGGACCAAACCGAAAUUUUGUCAUCUUCAACCUCCAACCCAGAAUUCCAACAGAAAACCCACUGUUCUUUCCUUAUUUCUAACACAAAUUCACCAUUCAAACAAAAUCAUAACUCAAAACACAAAUUUCAUAACCCUAACAUUUAUCAAAAUCGAAAUUAAAGCUUAAUAAUACAAAUUUAUACAUUUAACAACCUAAAUCUUACCUUUAAACUUAUUCCCUUCAAUUCUUUUCUAUUUUCCCUAUUUUCCCCUCUUUUCUCUUCUUCUUCUUUCUCCCUUCUCUCCUGCCGAUUCUCUCUCAAAUAUUCAGAUCUCUUCUUCUUUUUUUUUUUUUCUUUCUAUUUAUAUAUAUCAUCUCUUAUACAAUUACUACAAUACCCCUCAUUUAAUUUAUUCCUACAUCUAAGCAUUCAAGGACUUUAUUGUAUUUUCCUACUCAUUUAUUCAAAACAUCACAAUCUCCCCACCUUAUAAAAGUUUCGUCCUCGAAACUUAAGAGAAAAGAUUGAAUACUUACCGAGAUUAUCGAAAAGAUGAGGAUACUCCUCACGCAUCUUAUCCUCGAGCUCCCAUGUCGCUUCCUCACGUGAAUGACCUUUCCAUUGCACUUUCACUGAAGCUAUAUCUUUUGACCUAAGCUUCCUCACUUGUCGGUCGACUAUAGCUUCUGGUUGCACCUCAUAAACCAUAUCAUCCCUCAAUUCAAUGGGAUAAACCUCUAAUACAUGCGAUGGAUCUGACAUAUACUUCCUUAGCAUGGAAACAUGAAAUACCGGAUGAAUAGCAGACAAGUUUGGUGGUAAUGCUAACCUAUAAGCAACUGCCUCAACUCUCUCCAGAAUCUCAUACGGUCCAAUGAAUCGAGGACUCAACUUGCCUUUCUUCCCAAACCUGAAUACUCCUUUUGUCGGUGAUACUUUUAAGAACACACAAUCACCCACUGAAAACUCUAAGUCACGCCUUCUUUUAUCUGCGUAACUCUUUUGUCUACUCUGAGCUGUUUGAAGCUUCUGUCUAAUUACCUCUAUCUUCUCUGAGGUAAUCUGAAUCAACUCCGGUCCCAUUAGCCUUUUCUCACCAACCUCAAACCAACAAACCGGUGAUCUACACUUCCGACCAUACAAAGCCUCAUAAGGUGCCAUUUCUAUGCUAGCCUGAUAACUGUUGUUGUAAGCAAAUUCCACUAAUGGUAGGAACUUACUCCAACCAACUCCAAAAUCCAUAACACAAGCCCUUAGCAUAUCCUCCAAGAUCUGAAUAGUCCUCUCAGAUUGACCAUCUGUCUGAGGGUGAAAAGUUGUACUCAACUGCACUUUAGUACCCAUAGCUUCUUGGAAUUUCACCCAAAACCGCGAUGUAAACUGUGGACCUCUAUCAGACACUAUCGAGAUUGGCACUCCAUGCAACCGUACAAUCUCACUAAUAAAUAAUUCUGCCAACUUUGCAUAUCCAUAAGUAAUCCUAACUGGCAGAAAAUGGGCUGAUUUUGUCAACCUGUCAACAAUCACCCAUAUUGAAUCAUAACCCUCCUGACUCCUAGGCAAUCCUGUCACAAAGUCCAUUGUGAUCCUUUCCCACUUCCAUUCUGGAAUCAACAAUGGUUGCAACAAUCCAGGAGGUUUCUGGUGUUCACCCUUUACCCUCUGACAGGUCAAACACCUAGAAACAAAGUCUGCUACAUCAGCCUUCAUCCUAUUCCACCAAUAACACACCUUAAGGUCUUUAUACAUCUUGGUGGAACCUGGAUGCAUUGUGUAAACUGUCUGAUGUGCCUCUACCAUCAAUUCUCUCCUCAGAUCAUCUACAUCAGGUACACAAAGUCUAUCCCUAUAUCUCAGCACAUCAUCAUCACCUAUCACAAAACCUGCAGCCUUACCCUGCUCAACCUCAUUUCUAAUCCUGAGUAGUGAAUCAUCUUUCUUCUGAGCUGCUUUUAUCUUAUCAAACAAAUCUGACUUAACCUGAAAAUGAGCAAUCAUUGCUCCAGCUUCACUAAGAUCAAAUCUGACUCCUUCAUCCACCAACUCAUGCAGCUCCCUAAUCAGAGGUCUUCGUACCUCCUGAAUAUGAGCUAAGCUCCCUGAUGAUUUUCUACUCAAAGCAUCGGCAACUACAUUUGCCUUACCCGGGUGGUAAUGUAUGGUACAAUCAUAAUCCUUCAGCAGUUCCAUCCAUCUCCUUUGCCUCAUGUUUAGAUCCCUCUGCUGAAAGAUGUACUUCAAACUCUUGUGAUCUGUGAAGAUCUCACAAGUUUCACCAUACAAGUAGUGCCUCCAAAUCUUCAAGGCAAAAAUUACAGCCGCCAUCUCUAAAUCAUGUGUAGGAUAGUUCUGUUCAUGCUUCUUCAGCUGCCGUGAAGCAUAGGCAAUAACCUUGCCAUGCUGCAUUAGAACACAUCCUAACCCCACUCUCGAAGCAUCACAAUACACUGUGUAACCACCAGAACCUGAUGGUACUGCUAGAACAGGCGCUGUAGUCAAUCUCUCUUUCAACUCUAAGAAACUUUUCUCACAAGCUUCAGACCACUGAAACUUAAUAUUUUUCUGCGUCAACUUAGUCAAUGGUGCAGAAAUCCGAGAAAAGUUCUCUACAAACCUCCAAUAAUAGCCGGCCAAACCUAAGAAACUUCUAAUCUCUGUUGCCGAAGUAGGCCUAAGCCACUGCUUAACUGCUUCAAUCUUUUGAGGAUCAACCUCAAUCCCAUUCCUUGACACUACAUGCCCAAGAAAUGCUACACUCUCCAACCAAAACUCACUCUUUGAGAACUUGCCAUACAGCUGAUGAUCUCGCAGAGUUUGAAGCACCAUUCUCAAGUGCUGCUCAUGCUCCUCCCUAGACCUCGAAUACACCAAAAUAUCAUCAAUAAAAACUAUCACAAAUUGAUCAAUAAACUGGCCAAACACUCUAUUCAUCAAAUCCAUAAAAGCUGCUGGUGCAUUCGUCAACCCAAAAGACAUCACUAAGAACUCAUAAUGACCAUACCGAGUUCUAAAAGUUGUCUUCAAAAUGUCUGCCUCCCUAAUCCUCAACUGAUGAUACCCAGAUCGAAGAUCGAUCUUAGAAAAGAAUUGAGCUCCCUGCAACUGGUCAAACAAAUCAUCAAUGCGAGGGAGUGGGUAUCUAUUUCGAACAGUCACCCGAUUCAGUUGCCUAUAAUCUAUACAUAACCUCAAUGACCCAUCUUUCUUCUUCACAAACAACACUGGGGCUCCCCAAGGGGACACACUCGGUCGGAUGAACUUUUUAUCCAACAAAUCCUGCAGUUGCUCCUUUAGCUCCCUCAAUUCUGCUGGCGCCAUUCUAUAUGGUGCCAUUGAUAUUGGUUCGGUACCCGGAACCAAAUCAAUACAAAACUCAAUCUCCCUAUACGGAGGCAAUCCAGGUAAGUCAUCGGGAAAGACAUCAAUAAACUCCCUAACUAUAGGGACUUGGUCUAAUUGAGGAACUUCUUUCUCUACAUCCACUAUAUAUGCUAGGUAACACUGUACCCCUUUUCUGGCCAUUUUCCUCGAGAUAGCCGACAACAUAAUUGAUGGAGACCCAAUCUUAUCUCCUUGAAAUACCAACCCAACUUCUUCAUCUAGAUCAAAUAUUAUUUUCUUACCCCAACAAUUUACCGAAGCCCUGUGCUUUGCCAACCAAUCCAUUCCCAAAAUCACAUCAAAAUCAACCAUAUCUAAGACAUUUAAGUCUCCCAUAAAAAUCUUAUCUCCAAUCUCUAUUUCACAAUCCAGAUACACAUACUUCACUAAUAUUAAUUCAUCUAAGGGAGUGGAAACUGAAAUGGGGGAUUUUAACAAGGUUGGUUGUUUAUCUAACCUCAUGGCAAAAUAUGAAGACAUAAAUGAAUGGGUUGCACCCGUAUCAAACAACACUUUUGCUUCAAAAGAGCAAACAGGAAGAAUACCUGAAACAACUGUGUUGGAUGCCUGAGCAUCCUGCUGAGUCAAGGAAAAAACUCUAGCAUGCCCCUGACCCUGCUGUAUCUGACCUCUAUCACCUGCACCCCGGCCUCUCUGACCACGGCCACCAAAACCUCUACCCCCAUGAGCCACAGACUGGCUCGUCGAUGGUGCCUGAAUAGGAUGUUGGACUGAAGCAGAUAACCCCGAAGCUGACAACUGUCUCCUCGGGCACUCUCUGAUCUUAUGACCUAUCUGGCCACAACUAAAACAAGCCCCGGUCCUUCUGUAGCACUCUGCACUAGUAUGACUUCCUCCACAGUGCUGACAUGAAGAACUAUCACUAGGUGUAAUAAAUGAACUACGAGGUGCAAUCUGAACUAAACUCUGAGUACCACUACUGCCACUCUGACCGCCUGAGCCACUAACUGACGGUCUCUGUCUAAACCUCCUCUGAACCCAUGAGCCCUGACGGCCACUUCGUCCCCUAGACGGACCUGCACUUAAUCCCUGUUGCCUAAAAGACUGACCCUCUUCUCUAGGCCUCUUAGACUGGCCUGCAGUCAUAUCCUCCAAUUCUCGCGCCUCUAUCAAUCUGGCGCUAUCAACAGCUAAAGAGUAUGAUGGAAACACCUGUGACACCAUCACCAUAUACAUAGAGGAUUUGAGUCCUCUAAUAAACCUCUUCACCCUCCACUCCUCAGUGGGUAGAAGAUGCUCUGCAUACCUAGACAGCUGAGUAAACUUCAGAUCAUACUCAUCCACUGUCAUGCUCCCCUGAGAUAGCCUCUCAAACUCAUAAAGUCGAGCAUCCCUGACGCUCUGAGGGAGAAACCUGUCUAAGAACAUGGAGCUAAACUCCUUCCAUGUCCACUGAGCCUCUACUGGUCUUGCUCUUUUCCUAGACUCAAACCAAGAGAUUGCCACAUCUCCUUCCAACCUGAACGAUGCCAAACUCACAGCUCGGUGGUCUGUACAUCCCAAAGCUUCACACCGUCGCCAAAUAUCAUCUAGGAACCUCUGAGGAUCCUCUGAACUAUCCAUCCCAGUAAAAAUAGGAGGUGCCAACUUCAUGAAGUCAUUCAACGGCACAUUAACUCCCUGAACAGUGUGGGAUGUCGAGGGUACAUCUCUAUCCCUCCUUCUAUCUCUCUCCAUAGAAAAUUCUAUCCAGGUCCGCACAACCUGGCUAAGUUGCUGAAACUCUGUAAUAGGUUCAGGGUCAGCUACCCCCACACCUGUUUCAUCAACAAUAUCUUCCUCUUCUAUCUCCUGAGGCUCUUCCUCCACUGGUGGAGGUACCUCCUCAACAUGUUGAGGCACGGGUGCACCGCGCCUCCUUCUCUGCCUUGCAGUUCUCAACCGCCCAAUAGGGACAUCAUCCUGAUCAUCCUCUACUCUAACAGUAUCAGCUAUUCGUCUAUUCCUCGGCAUUUCCUAAAAUAAAAGUGAGAGCACUCAAGUCAUGUUAGAACAAUAGCAUGAUAAUUAUCAUAGAAUUAUAGGAAAGCAUAUCUAUCACAAGGAAGAAGACAUGCUUAAUGAGAAUUCGGAAUUUCAAAGGCAACAAACAAGACAACACGGAUCCUAAUGCUCCACUUAUUACGAAUUUAAUUAUAUUAUUGUUUCUUUAACCUAAAGCUCUGAUACCAAGUUUGUCACGACCCGAAUCCCGGAUUCAUGACCGGCACAUAGGCAAGGUUCCCCUCCAAGGUUCCAUACCUAUGCGAACCCAAACUUACACACAAACUUAUCCUAACUCAAUCAGAGUUCAACGCAACAUUAAUAACAAAAUCAACUUCAUAAUAAUUGAAUUGUCUUAAUACAAAAGUUUAUAUAAGUUCAGAGUUUUGGAGCACUAACUAAACAUAAAGGAAAGAUACAAAGUACAACCAAAGAGCAGAUUCUGAAGGUCCAACAAAAUGACCUGCUAUCAAGCUAUAAGCCUGAAAAGGAUAAAUAAUGAGAUGGUGAGUUCAACAACUCAGUGAGUAGAUAACGUUCAAUAUACACACACGAGGUAAUACAGCAAUGAGAAAUAUAUAUACAAGUAUGGCUCUAGGUUCUUAUAGAAAGGUUUCUCAAAUAGGCCAUAACAAGAAGAUCAAAUGGUAAAGUUCGUCAGAAAAUCAAAAUGCAAUGAGCAUGAGGCUCCGUACUGUGGGAUGAUCAGUCCACACAGGUUGGUGACUCCCCCGACCAACUAGGGUUCAGAUACGAUGUGCACAAAGACUAACACUACCCUGUUAGCAUGGGUAUUCUGACUGACAUACCAUAGGUUCAUAAUCAUAAUCAAACAAACAUAUUCAUAUCUCAAGGCUCAACUCAUGACAUCAAUCAAAUGAGGAGCUAUCAAUUCAGAAUUCAAUUCAAAAUAUAUACUGGUUCAUAUCAAGAAUUCGGAUUCAACAAUUGAUCAUGCUUUAUCAAAACAAGGAUAAUAAUCAACAUAUAUAUUAUCAAGAAGCAUGAUUCAAUUCAUAUUAACAAAUCAAAUAUUUAUACUAUUUCUCAUGAAUAUGGAAAAUUAUCCACUCACCUGACUCAAAAGCAAACAGAAGCCAAAAGCAGACACCGAAGAAAAUCCUACUGACGUCCUGUCGGUAGAAUAUCAGGAUUAUCUGAAUACAAAGGAGACAUAUUCAAGAACGACUCAAAAGAACAUUUAACCUAUUUAAUAAACUUAACUAAUGAUGUAUUCCAUAACCCUAUAUGUUUUUGAACUAACUAGUCAAUUUUCUCAAAAACCCAAAAUUUAACGGUUUUCCCGAAAUCUAAUCCAUAAAUAAACAACUAAUAAAAUUGGCAAUAAUUCACUAAAUAACCCUUAAUUAUUCAUCAAACUAAUCUGAAAAGGCUAAUAUUACAGCUAGGGACCAAUCUGUAAUUUAUCAUAUUUUUAGGGCCAAAUUGUAAUUUUUGUCUAAUUGGAGGACCAAACUGAAAUUUAUCAUAAAUCCAUGAAUAUACUGAAAUUCUGACCAUAAUUAGUCCUCAUUUCUGUCCAGAUCAUCUCAUUAUACUCCAAGGACCAUUCUGGAAUUUUACCAAAUUUUUUAGGGUCAAAUUGUAAUUUUGUCAAAUUGGAGGACUAAAUUGAAAGUGUUAAAUUCUCUUAUCUAUACAGUAAUUCUGUCCAUAAUUCGUAUGUUAUUCUGUUCAGAAUCUCGGAAUAGGGUCCAGGGACCAAUCUGCAAAUUUUCCAAAGUUUGGGGACUAAACUGUAAUUUUCCAAAAUUGAGGGACCAAACCGAAAUUUUGUCAUCUUCAACCUCCAACCCAGAAUUCCAACAGAAAACCCACUGUUCUUUCCUUAUUUCUAACACAAAUUCACCAUUCAAACAAAAUCAUAACUCAAAACACAAAUUUCAUAACCCUAACAUUUAUCAAAAUCGAAAUUAAAGCUUAAUAAUACAAAUUUAUACAUUUAACAACCUAAAUCUUACCUUUAAACUUAUUCCCUUCAAUUCUUUUCUAUUUUCCCUAUUUUCCCCUCUUUUCUCUUCUUCUUCUUUCUCCCUUCUCUCCUGCCGAUUCUCUCUCAAAUAUUC
rnacentral:lncRNA from 1 species